rnacentral:rRNA from 1 species
UACAGAGGUGGCAAGCGUUGUUCGGAAUUACUGGGCGUAAAGGGCGCGUAGGCGGCCUUCUAAGUCAGACGUGAAAUCCCCCGGCUUAACCUGGGAACUGCGUCUGAUACUGGGAGGCUUGAGUAUGGGAGAGGGAUGUAGAAUUCCAGGUGUAGCGGUGAAAUGCGUAGAUAUCUGGAGGAAUACCGGUGGCGAAGGCGGCAUCCUGGACCAUAACUGACGCUGGGGCGCGAAAGCUAGGGGAGCAAACGGG